UGUAAUGUGAAGGAACCAACUUGAACAGGAGGGGCAAAAGAGUUUUGCCCACAGUGACAGCCUGGACACUAGAGAAGUUUUGUGGGAAAGUGGAAAUGGGCUCCCUCAUCCCCACAGUUGAUGGAUGAGUGCUGUGACUGAGUCCACUGCUUUUCUCUCCCCACCCAAAGAUCCAAGUGUUGUCAGCUCCCCCAUGUGCUUGGAGCCAUAUCUGGGCAGGAUGAAGGGAAAGCCACAGGCUCUGCCAGGUCUGAGAGAGUUUGUGUCACCAUCUUGAAAUACAGCACCUGGUCAGAUGGGCUGCUCAUACAGCUCCCAGGUCCUUCUUGCCUGGCUGUUGAAGGCAUUUAUCUCAACAUGUCAGUCAUGGGUCGCAGCAAAGUGAGACUUGCAAACUACAGGCUUGUUUUGGCAUAAAAUGAAGAGGAAAGUUCUUUUUUUAAUGGGAAAAGAUAAAGAUGGAAAUGAGUCACUGGGUGUGACAGGAACCACUUCUCUCUUAAGUACUGGUGGAGAUUUCACAGAAGCAGACCAAGGGUGUGCAAUAUGAGCCAUAUCUGGACGUAAGAUGUCAUUGCAGAUGUCAGUGAAAGAGGAGAACAAUGAAGAGAAGAGUAUGUGGAGAGGGAAAGCUUCAGAAUUAAACCCAAGCCUUGUAAGUGGACAUUAAAGCACCAAUUUCACAAAAACGAUAACAUUCUGCUGAGAAGGACAAAAGGGAUAUGAGAUUUUGACAGACUGGUUUUGUGCAACCCAGGAUGCAGUCACUUGUGAAAUGUCUUCAAUACUGACUCAGAGGAGCUGGUACCACAAGACCUGCUGAAUAAAUACUCCUCCUGUGUUUCUCCCACAGCAACAAAGAGAGGUGACAGGGUUACUGAGGAUGCGUCAGACCACUGAAUUCUCUGUAAGUACUCUCAGGGCAGCAUAGCCAAUUUAUAAAUUCUCAACAUUUUUUCUGGCCAACAGUUUUAUACCUAGGCUACCUUCAUAGAUUCCACUCACAGCUAUUUGAAAACUUCAUUGUUAAUGAGAAAUAUUAUUUUAGUUUUGUAUUUUUUGCAUUUGUAGAAAGGCUGCACUGUUGGCAAGGUUUUCUCAGUAUGCUGUUGUUUUCCUAGAGCUACUUUGCACAUUUUCAAAUGAAGUAUUUCUUCAUAAUAAGAUAUGUCAAACUUCAUUUUGUAGUGAAUCAAAGAGAUUGUGCCUGGGGAAAACUUUAGAAACAGAAGCGUGCCUAGAAUUAAAACCUGAGGUUAGGCAGUUUGUCCUAAAUCUCAGAUUAAAUGGCAAAGAUUCCCAGCAGAUGAUAAAGGAUAUGCUCUGUAGAAAAUAAUCUGGGUUAAUUAAUAACAUUUGAUUACUUACUUGCUUUCCUACGUUUCAAUGUUAUGACUUGACAAAGUUCUGUUGACAAGCUGCACAUGUGCUUAUGUUUACUUGAGAAUAUGUAUUUCUGGAACCUAUCAGAGACAGUAACUGAGCCCAAGAUCUGGUCUUAUUUCUUAAACGUAAGAGUCUCAGGACCUGAUUUAUGUGCUCUUGAAAGCUUCACAAAAAUCCACCUGGACGCUAGGGGCAGUGGUGUCAGUGCUUCAGAAGGUGGCAGUGCCUCUGAGUCGUAAGAGGAGGCAUGCUUCAAAGUUGAUGGACCCAGGGAGGCAGUGAACAACACAUAAAUCUAAACAUUGCAAAGUGCUAAACACUCAAUAACUGCUCCACUAAAGUACUUAAAAUUAGUGAAAUACUUACAACCAGUUCUUUCCUGAAAAUGGACCUAUGAAAAUGAACUUGUCUGGACUGAGUCAAAGUCUGUGUGCAUUGGAAACCUUGGUUUAUGCCUCCUUCUGUGUUACAGGAUACACAGUUGGAUUGUUUUCAUUAAUUCUAGCAAAAUUCUGCAUACAUUAAUUUUUAUGAAGAGGAGUCAGCUUAUCUCUUUAUCUCUUUUCAUCAGCAUAUUGGAAAGAAAAGGAAAGAAAACAAGUAACACAUCCAGGAUGUUAUGAACUAUUGACAUAUAUUUGGAAAAAAAACCACCACAAAACAACAAAAACAAAUCAAGUUAAUGCAAUGGCUUAUUUUUGUGUAUUCAGAUUAAAAAUUAAAAUCUAGGGAAAAUGACCUACAUUUGCCUUAUGAAGAUUGUCCCCAUCAGAGGUUCCAAGAAUGAUACUGAUAAAUAAAAACAUUCAAAAUCAACACUCACUUUGAAAAAUUUAACUGCCCUAGACAUAGAAUAAUCUCAAAUAUUGUCUCUGUGUCUAUAGCUGUGUGUACCUAAAGAUAUAGACAUAUAUUUAUAUGUUCUGUUUUCAUGUUAGUGAAACAACUUUUGUCAGGAACUUUAUGGAUGAUUCUGAAAGCAUAUUCAACACCAAUUUCUCUGCAGAAAUGAUGAAAAUAUAAUCACAUUAAGAGAAAAAAUUUGCAAGCAUAUUUUAACAUUUUUACCAUAGAUGUAAAAAUUGUGAUGUCACAGGAAAAGAAAGCCUCAUCACUGAAAUUUCAGUCUGUUAGAGAUGAAAGCCAGAUGUCUGUAAUCAUUUGCUGUUUUACAGAGAUAAAUAAGAAGGAAUCUUCCAUCCACUGUAUUUUAUCACUCAAAACAUGUUUAGAACAUAUUUUCUAUUAUCAUGAUUACCCAAUCACAUUUUAAAAGUAUGUUCCCUUCCCAUCUCUUACUAUCUAAUACUACUAAAAAUGCACUGUAUUGAAACAUUUGAAUCUUUGCUUUUACAUCUGUCUUCUGCACUAGAAUCCAUCAAACUUAGGGUACUUAAAAAAUAGCAGACAGGAAAAUCU